AGAGUUUGAUCCUGGCUCAGAUUGAACGCUUGUGGCAUGCCUUACACAUGCAAGUCGAACGGCAGCACGGAGCUUGCUCUGGUGGCGAGUGGCGAACGGGUGAUUAAUAUAUCGGAACGUACCCUUGGGUGGGGGAUAACGUAGCGAAAGUUACGCUAAUACCGCAUACGAUCUACGGAUGAAAGUGGGGGAUCCGCAAGGACCUCAUGCUCAUGGAGCGGCCGAUAUCUGAUUAGCUAGUUGGUAGGGUAAAAGCCUACCAAGGCAUCGAUCAGUAGCUGGUCUGAGAGGACGACCAGCCACACUGGAACUGAGACACGGUCCAGACUCCUACGGGAGGCAGCAGUGGGGAAUUUUGGACAAUGGGCGAAAGCCUGAUCCAGCAAUGCCGCGUGAGUGAAGAAGGCCUUCGGGUUGUAAAGCUCUUUUGUCAGGGAAGAAACGGUGGUUUCUAAUACAGAUCACUAAUGACGGUACCUGAAGAAUAAGCACCGGCUAACUACGUGCCAGCAGCCGCGGUAAUACGUAGGGUGCAAGCGUUAAUCGGAAUUACUGGGCGUAAAGUGUGCGCAGGCGGUUAUGUAAGACAGAUGUGAAAUGCCCGGGCUUAACCUGGGAACUGCAUUUGUGACUGCAUGGCUAGAGUUUGGCAGAGGGGGGUAGAAUUCCACGUGUAGCAGUGAAAUGCGUAGAUAUGUGGAGGAACACCGAUGGCGAAGGCAGCCCCCUGGGUCAAGACUGACGCUCAUGCACGAAAGCGUGGGGAGCAAAAAGGAUUAGAUACCCUGGUAGUCCACGCCGU
rnacentral:rRNA from 1 species